rnacentral:rRNA from 1 species
CAGCCGCCGCGGUAAUACAGAGGGUGCGAGCGUUAAUCGGAUUUACUGGGCGUAAAGCGUGCGUAGGCGGCUUCUUAAGUCGGAUGUGAAAUCCCUGAGCUUAACUUAGGAAUUGCAUUCAAUACUGGGAAGCUAGAGUAUGGGAGAGGAUGGUAGAAUUCCAGGUGUAGCGGUGAAAUGCGUAGAGAUCUGGAGGAAUACCGAUGGCGAAGGCAGCCAUCUGGCCUAAUACUGACGCUGAGGUACGAAAGCAUGGGGAGCAAACAGGAUUAGAUACCCCCGUAGUCCCUGUCUCUUAUAA